CAAAGGCCCCAGAGGAAGCCACGGCUAACUCUGUGCCAGCAGCCGCGGUAAUACAGAGGCGGCAAGCGUUGUUCGGAAUUAUUGGGCGUAAAGAGCACGUAGGCGGCCUUGCAAGUCAGUUGUGAAAGCCUUCCGCUUAACGGAAGAAUGCCAGCUGAUACUACAGGGCUUGAGUACGGGAGGGGAGAGUGGAACUUCUGGUGGAGCGGUGAAAUGCGUAGAUAUCAGAAGGAACGCCGGCGGCGAAAGCGACUCUCUGGCCCGAAACUGACGCUGAGUGUGCGAAAGCUAGGGGAGCAAACGGGAUUAGAUACCCCGGUAGUCCUAGCCGUAAA
rnacentral:rRNA from 1 species